CAUUUUCUUAUAUAUACAGGCCUUUGACAAACAUAUUCCACAAAAAAAUAAGAUGGACAUUUCACGGAAUUCUAUGGUUAAAUUGACAUUCUUAUUUGCUUUCUUUAUCAUUGCAUCAGAUAUGUGCAUGAAAUUGGAGGCAAGAGGACCCAUUGCGCAUUGGAACUGUGAUAACGACUCGCAGUGCCAAUUUACUUGUCCAACUUGUGGUUGCAGAUGCAUAAACACAUGGUGUCAGUGUCCAACACCACCUUUCACCGAUAAUAUUCAUAUUCAAGCACCCGAAAUUGAGUAAUUACGGGAUCUCGUGUUGUAAUUAUCUAUGGAUUAAUGGAUGACAAUAAUGAAAAAUUCACA